AGGGUAUCUUGGCUGACCUCCAGAAACAAGUCUAGGAUGCUUGAAUCAGAAUCUCCAUUUGUAUACGACACGUGACAUCUGGUCUACCUGGUGUAAUGUAGACUCGGGGAAAUUUCCUGGAGGGGACACCAGCGUCGGUGAAGAUUCAGAAGUUUUGUUUUUGUUUUUCUCGUUUUUUUUUUGAUCAGUGCUAAUCUUCGAUACUCGAAGGAGAGGUUGUCCGUGUUGUCUUCUCUUUAUUUAUGAUGAAACAUACACGGGAAACCUCUUUUUUAGUAUCAAAUCCCACCCUGGAGGCACUUCCUGUUCCUGAUGCGGCCUUCAGGGAAGGGACGUUGCCGGCUGCACCCUGACUAGGCCCGAGGAAGGCGGACUGUGUGACGUGUCACGGGGGGCGGGGGUGAAGGAUGGUGUGUGGCCCUCAGGAUCCAGCCCUCCCAUGGACAGCUCCUUGGAAGGGAAGCCACGUUUGGAGAAGGGCUCAUGUUUCUGUGGUGGAGGGAGAUUAUUCAUUGCAGUUUUCAUCCAUUUGAUGACUCAGGCUGGGCGGUGGCUCUUCAGCUGUGGGGUCCUGCUCGGAUGGCUUUCUGGACACACUGGCAGCGUCACUGAAGGGACUGUAAUGCCAACCACUCUCCAGGGUAGCUGAGGGGAUGGUAGACCGGUGACGUGCACUUCAUUUAUGAUGUAGGUCACCCGUUUGACUAUCCACCAGCACCCAGUCCAUCUGUGGGAUGACAUCUUGGUGCACAUGGCAACUUUGGAGAAGAUUAGGAGGAUUUGGGGCCAGUGUGAAUCCACAGUAUUUCAAGAGUGGUCGCCCUUUUGGGGGCUCCCCCUUCUACCUUUUAAAAAUAAGUAUAAGCAAUCAUUAGUGAAUACUCUCUCUUUGUGUCAAAUCCUGCCCUGGAGGACUGUUAGCCUGACCACAGAAAAUGUCACGGAAGAGGGCUUGGUAUCGGUGCCCCCCCCGCCCAGGGGAAGGCCCACCCCAUAGCAUGUGUUGAAUGUAGGAUGUUUGUAUUACCUGGUUCAGGGGUCCAAUCUAUUUUGGGGAGGGUAUAGGGUGGGGUGUGCAAUGUUGGGAGCGCCUGUGGUUGUGAUGUCAACUCCGUUCUGUGGUAUCUGACAAGAGCCUGUCUAAUGAGCUUGCCGUGUAUGUGAUGAAUGUUACAUGGUGCAUCUCUUUUCACUAGUAAAUACCACACUGGAGGAUUUCCUGGAGGUGAAGCCAGAUUCCAGGCAGGGCUAUCGGUGUCCAAACCACUACUGGUGAGCGAAUGGGCGGGGGACAGAGGAGCUCGCAGUGUGGCUUUGAUCCCCUUGUGGGUCAUUACCACUUAGAAGCCAGCUUCUUCCUGGGUGGAUUUCAAGUCCAUCAUCAUUACUUAGGCAAAGAGGCUUUGUUGUCGUCACGCAUCUCUGUGUCUGUUGUCCAGCUUUGUCUGACUUGUGAGGAUCCAAAGAGAUGGGAUGCUUUUCAGUGUCAGAUCCUGCCUAAGAUGCAUUCUGGAUGUGACAGCAACUUCAGAGAAGAGACGUUGGCGUCAUCAUCAAUGAAGGAUGACUUCUGGGGGUGAAGGUGGGACAUGACAUCGCUCACCCACCUCUUGGGCUAGCUGGCACAUCGUCCUCACAGCGAUGGCAAGACCACAAGAAAGGAAGGGCCGUUGGUGUGAGCCCCUCUCUGGGAGACCUGAAGGAUGGUGGAGUUCAGAGCGUCUUCCCUGACUCGUUCACCCUCGGUGUCCUUCUCUUCCUGGGAGGACUUCCUGGAAGUGACGCUGACUUUGGGGACGGUAUCUCCUUGCCCUUGCCCUUUGGCUCUCUGCGAUGGGUUUGCUGUAUUUGGCACAAGUCAUGCUGAACUGUUGGUGUUUUAGAACCAAACCGUGCCUCCAAGGAACCAGGAGUGUCCUUAGGAGGGGAUACUGGAGUCAGAACCAUGCAAGCGACACGCACGGAGGGGUCCCCAGAGAGCUGAUGCUGCACUGGGCUUGUCUCCCCUAAUUCUACAUCCUCGGUUUCCUGUCUCUCAAGACGCCUUACAGGAACCACUGACUCACAGAGAGGAUUUUAUUUAAGGCCCAGGACCAUCCUGUUUCCUCUGAAAUGAUGCUCUCCAUGAACAUUUGUGGAGUUGACAGUAAACAUUCCGGAACCCGUCUGCGCUGAUUAUUGAAUUCUGCCCAUGAAGACUUCCUGGGGUCCUGAAGCAGCAGCAGUCUGGAACUGGUUUGCUUCAUCCAUGAUGGCGACCACACAACCCAUCCCUGCUCAGGGUCAGCCUCGCCGUGCCGGGCUGCAGGCAGGGAGCGGCCAUCCCCGUUGUGUUCAGCGCAUGUGUAACGGACGGUGUUUGCCCGGCCAUGCCCCCACGCCCUAACCCCCAGUGUCCCUUCACACCCAGGUGGCCUGCUGGAGGUGAGCAAGUACAGACGCCUGCCCGGCGGUGCUAAUCUCUGG